CCCAAAACAAAGAACACCUUCCCAUGCAUUAGAUUUGUCCACAAGGCCAUGGAUACAAGGCCCAGGCUGCCCAGCCUGGACCUGCAGCAGGUGACAAUGAGCGCAGUGCAGAAAUCCAAUGCCAGCAAACUCUGCUUCAGGAAAAGGCUCUGAACAAAGAGCUUUUCCUGUUCCUGUGACCUGCCUCCCUCCCUGAGCGCCGUGAGCACCACCACCAGCUGACAAUGCACUGGAAGACACACAUCAGGAGAAGUAGGACUUGGUAAUCAUAUAUUAGUAUUUUUUAAAAUAAAAACUGACUCCAAGUUUUUUAGUCAAUUAAACACA